rnacentral:misc_RNA from 1 species
GAUGAAGAACGUAGCGAAAUGCGAUAAGUAGUGUGAAUUGCAGAAUUCAGUGAAUCAUCGAAUCUUUGAACGCACAUUGCGCCCCUUGGUAUCCCGAGGGGCAUGCCUGUUCGAGCGUCAUUUCACCACUCAAGCCUGGCUUGGUGUUGGGCGACGUCCUCUUUGGGGACGCGCCUCGAAACGCUCGGCGGCGUGGCACCGGCUUUAAGCGUAGCAGAAUCUUUCGCUUUGGAAGUCGGGGCCCCGUCUGCCGGAAGACCUGCUCGCAAGGUUGACCUCGGAUCAGGCAGGGAUACCCGCUCAACUUAAGCAUAUCAAUAAGCGGAGGA